rnacentral:rRNA from 1 species
CCUACGGAGGGCGGCCGUGAGGAAUAUUGGUCAAUGGGCGCGAGCCUGAACCAGCCAAGUAGCGUGAAGGAUGACUGCCCUACGGGUUGUAAACUUCUUUUAUAAAGGAAUAAAGUGAGGCACGUGUGCCUUUUGUAUGUACUUUAUGAAUAAGGAUCGGCUAACUCCGUGCCAGCAGCCGCGGUAAUACGGAGGAUCCGAGCGUUAUCCGGAUUUAUUGGGUUUAAAGGGAGCGUAGAUGGGUUGUUAAGUCAGUUGUGAAAGUUUGCGGCUCAACCGUAAAAUUGCAAUUGAUACUGGCAGUCUUGAGUACAGUUGAGGUAGGCGGAAUUCGUGGUGUAGCGGUGAAAUGCUUAGAUAUCACGAAGAACUCCGAUUGCGAAGGCAGCUUACUAAACUGCCACUGACAUUGAUGCUCGAAAGUGUGGGUAUCAAACAGGAUUAGAUACCCUUGUAGUC